rnacentral:hammerhead_ribozyme from 1 species
GCACUGUUGAGGAGUCCCACAAUAGGACGAAACGGUCGCCCAGUGC